CGCGUUCAGACCUAUGUAUAAUUCAAAGCCGCCAGGAGGGUCACGCUGGGACGUCCCGUAUUUGAGCCAAAAGAGGUGCGUCGCCGCACGGGUAAAUGCUAAAGCUACAUGCUGCUCCGGAGGGGGAUUUUGUCCCCAGCCGGCGGAGUUGUCGGGGAAGAAGCGAACGGCUAAAAUACGGGAGGAUCCGGUAAACCGGCAUAGAUCCGGUGUGUUUAUCAAAGCAUGAUGGCCGUGCUGAGGCACCGGGGGGAAUUUAGGCUAAACAGUAAGUCAAAAUAAAACGUUCACACUUACAGAUGCCACGUUUGUAGUAGGAUCACGGAUAGUUGGUACGGAUUCAUUCUUUAACUUCAGACAUCUAGCAAAUCCAGCGUUGAACUGUCC